rnacentral:rRNA from 1 species
UAAGGAAUAUUGCGCAAUGGGCGACAGCCUGACGCAGCGACGCCGCGUGGGGGAUGAAGGUCUUCGGAUUGUAAACCCCUUUCGGCAGGGAAGAUGGAACGGGUAACCGUUCGGACGGUACCUGCAGAAGCAGCCACGGCUAACUUCGUGCCAGCAGCCGCGGUAAUACGAAGGUGGCAAGCGUUGUUCGGAUUUACUGGGCGUACAGGGAGCGUAGGCGGUUGGGUAAGCCCUUCGUGAAAUCUCCGGGCCUAACCCGGAAAGUGCGGAGGGGACUGCUCGGCUAGAGGAUGGGAGAGGAGCGCGGAAUUCCCGGUGUAGCGGUGAAAUGCGUAGAGAUCGGGAGGAAGGCCGGUGGCGAAGGCGGCGCUCUGGAACAUUUCUGACGCUGAGGCUCGAAAGCGUGGGGAGCAAACAG